UUGACCUCGGAUCAGGUAGGAUACCCGCUGAACUUAAGCAUAUCAAUAACGGAGGGA
rnacentral:rRNA from 1 species